CGCGGGAUUAGAGUUUGAUCCUGGCUCAGAGCGAACGCUGGCGGCAGGCUUAACACAUGCAAGUCGAGCGGGCGUAGCAAUACGUCAGCGGCAGACGGGUGAGUAACGCGUGGGAACAUACCUUUUGGUUCGGAACAACACAGGGAAACUUGUGCUAAUACCGGAUAAGCCCUUACGGGGAAAGAUUUAUCGCCGAAAGAUUGGCCCGCGUCUGAUUAGCUAGUUGGUGAGGUAACGGCUCACCAAGGCGACGAUCAGUAGCUGGUCUGAGAGGAUGAUCAGCCACAUUGGGACUGAGAUACGGCCCAAACUCCUACGGGAGGCAGCAGUGGGGAAUAUUGGACAAUGGGCGCAAGCCUGAUCCAGCCAUGCCGCGUGAGUGAUGAAGGCCCUAGGGUUGUAAAGCUCUUUUGUGCGGGAAGAUAAUGACGGUACCGCAAGAAUAAGCCCCGGCUAACUUCGUGCCAGCAGCCGCGGUAAUACGAAGGGGGCUAGCGUUGCUCGGAAUCACUGGGCGUAAAGGGUGCGUAGGCGGGUCUUUAAGUCAGGGGUGAAAUCCUGGAGCUCAACUCCAGAACUGCCUUUGAUACUGAGGAUCUUGAGUUCGGGAGAGGUGAGUGGAACUGCGAGUGUAGAGGUGAAAUUCGUAGAUAUUCGCAAGAACACCAGUGGCGAAGGCGGCUCACUGGCCCGAUACUGACGCUGAGGCACGAAAGCGUGGGGAGCAAACAGGAUUAGAUACCCUGGUAGUCCACGCCGUANACGAUGAAUGCCAGCCGUUAGUGGGUUUACUCACUAGUGGCGCAGCUAACGCUUUAAGCAUUCCGCCU
rnacentral:rRNA from 1 species